rnacentral:rRNA from 1 species
GACGAACGAUGGCGGCGUGCCUAAUACAUGCCAGUCGAGCUAAGCGGCGGAUGGGUGAGUAACGCGUGGGUAACCUGCCCUUAAGUCUGGGAUACCAUUUGGCAACAGAUGCUAAUACCGGAUCCAAAAGGAUGGACCUGCGAUGCAUUAGCUAGUUGGUAAGGUAACGGCUUACCAAGGCGAGGAUGGAUAGCCGAGUUGAUAGACUGAUCGGCCACAUUGGGACUGCGACACGGCCCAAACUCCUACGGGAGGCAGCAGUAAGGAAUCUUCCACAAGGGACGAAAGUCUGAUGGAGCAACGCCGCGUGAGUGAAGAAGGUUUUCGGAUCGUAAAGCUCUGUUGUUGGUGAAGCGGUAAUCAACCAGAAAGUCACGGCUAACUACGUGCCAGCAGCCGCGGUAAUAC